AUGAACGCUGGCGGCGUGCCUAAUACAUGCAAGUCGAGCGAACAGACGAGGAGCUUGCUCCUCUGACGUUAGCGGCGGACGGGUGAGUAACACGUGGAUAACCUACCUAUAAGAAUGGGAUAACUUCGGGAAACCGGAGCUAAUACCGGAUAAUAUAUUUAACCGCAUGGUUCAAUAGUGAAAGACGGUUUUGCUGUCACUUAUAGAUGGAUCCGCGCCGCAUUAGCUAGUUGGUAAGGUAACGGCUUACCAAGGCAACGAUGCGUAGCCGACCUGAGAGGGUGAUCGGCCACACUGGAACUGAGACACGGUCCAGACUCCUACGGGAGGCAGCAGUAGGGAAUCUUCCGCAAUGGGCGAAAGCCUGACGGAGCAACGCCGCGUGAGUGAUGAAGGUCUUCGGAUCGUAAAACUCUGUUAUUAGGGAAGAACAAAUGUGUAAGUAACUAUGCACGUCUUGACGGUACCUAAUCAGAAAGCCACGGCUAACUACGUG
rnacentral:rRNA from 1 species